GGUAAAUGAAGUGCACGAAGCGAUUCAUGCAGUUGAAAACGUGGAAAUACAAUAUGUUGACGAAGAAAUACAAGAUGUAGAUGGAGCGGUAGCCUCACUGGAUGUUCCCAUAGAACAGAUACUCCCUACCCAUAAGGACGCCUAUAUAAACGUUGUUCAUUGCUUCAAAUUGAAUAAUUUUAAUGAUUCAAAAUAAAUUAAUACAACUAUUACAUUUGUUCCACAUGUUGUAAUACAUCUAUUAAUAAAAUAAAUUCAGGAUCA